GACAUCAUAAAUACUAGUAGACAUCAGAAAAACAUCUAAUAACACUAAUUCUAUAACUCUUUGCUCAUAUACAAUAUAUAAAAAAAAGGGAAAAACUAUUUAAGUGGUGUAAGAAGAACAUAAGCCUUAUAAAUUGUAAAGUGAUAAAAUAAAAUUCCAUCUGAUAUAUUCAAAGAGUGGAAAAUAUGGAUAAAAUUUUCAAGUUUGUUUAUGUUAUGAUAAUUCUUCUUUCCCUAGUUUUUGUUUCAACGCAAAUUCCAAAACUUCCAAUUCCCAUUUCAUGUAUAACGGAUCGUGAUUGUCCAUCAUUUCCCAAGGGGCGCAUUUCAAAUCCUAAAAAACUGAGGUGUCGUAAUGGUUUUUGUACAUGACAAUAAUUAUAGCUUUAUGGAUUAUAUAUAUGAUUGUCACACCCAAAAGAAUUAAAACAAAAUCACACUACUACUAGAAUAUUCCACAAUUUCUUAUUUAGGAUUGUGAUCACCUAUUAAAUGAGUUUUCUUUUACCUUUUCUAAUUUCACUUACCUUGUUAGUUUUGUACUUUAAGAUAAUGCAAGAUAAAUGACAUAGACUAUGAAAAAUAUUAUCUACA